GUAAAACAACACUAUAAAAAAUGUUAAAGAAAAUGUUUCAGGCAGAAGUAAAAUAAUAUCAAAAGGAAAUUUGGAUCUACAUAGAAGAAUGAAAAGCACUGGAAAUGGUAUCAACAUGGUUAAAUAUAUAAGAUCCUUUUAUUUCUGUUUGAAUUCAAUUGAUUGUUUAAACAAGGGGUCAGCAAGCUAUAGCUUCAUGGGUGGACUGCCUGUUUAUGUGAACAAAUUUUUACUGAGACACAUUCAUGCUCAUUUGUUUAUGUAUUAUCAAUGGGUGCUAUAGAAUUACAAAAGCAGAAUUAAGUAGUUGUAACAGAGCCUAAUGGCACACAAGCCUAAAAUAUUUAGCUUUUAAGGAAAGCAUGUCCGGUUCUGGUGGCUCAUGCCUGUAAUCCCAGCAUUUUGGGAGGCCGAGAUGGGCGGAUCACGAGGUCAGGAAAUUAAGACCAUCCUGGGCAACAUGAUGAAACCCCGUAUCUACUAAAAAUACAAACAUUAGCUGGGUGUGGUGGCAUGUGGCUGUAAUCCCAGCUACUCGGGAGGCUGAGGCAGGACAAUCGCUUGAACCCGGGAGGCAGAGGUUGCAGUGAGCUGAGAUGGCACUACUGCACUGCAGCCUGGUACAAAGCUAGACUCUGUCUC
rnacentral:lncRNA from 10 species